rfam:Candidatus Staskawiczbacteria bacterium RIFCSPHIGHO2_01_FTLL_34_27 rifcsphigho2_01_scaffold_2126, whole genome shotgun sequence.
AAUAGCUGUAUUAGUUAGCCGCAGACAGUAGGUACCCUGAGCUUGUCGAAGGGAUAAAUCCUGCCGAGGUCCCGAUAAAAUUUAUUUAGUAAAUUUUAUACGAGGAUCCCGUAUAAAUUUCAAAUAUUGAAAUUUAUCGGGACAAAAAAAAGAGGUUUUCUCAUUUUUGUUUUGUCUGCGGUAAGCAGACUUUUUAUUUUGCUUU